rnacentral:rRNA from 1 species
AUGAAAGACCUUGGUGUGGCUGAUGUUAUCUUGAACAUCAAGCUACUGAGAGAUAAUGAGGGUGGGAUCACACUUCUGCAAUCCCAUUACGUUGAGAAGGUGUUGAGUCGUUUUGGAUAUUCGGACUGCACACCAUCUCAAACACCAUAUGAUCCUAGCGUAUUGAUACGAAAGUCCAAAGGCAUGGCUAAAGAUCAAUUGAGAUACUCUCAAAUCAUUGGUUCACUGAUGUACCUAGCGAGCGCAACGAGGCCUGACAUCGCGUUUGCUGUGAGCAAACUGAGCCGGUUUGUUUCCAAACCGGGUGAUGUACAUUGGCAUGCUGUUGAGAGAGUUAUGCGCUAUCUGAAAGGUACUAUGAACUAUGGACUUCACUAUACCGGAUACCCGUCGGUACUUGAAGGGUAUAGUGAUGCGAAUUGGAUCUCUGAUGCUGAUGAGAUGAAGGCCACAACUGGGUAUAUGUUUACUCUUGGAGGUGGCGCUGUUUCCUGGAAGUCUUGCAAGCAAACGAUCUUAACGAGAUCGACAAUGGAAGCAGAAUUAACGGCAUUAGACACAUCUGGUGUU